rnacentral:tRNA from 1 species
GAGGGCAUAGCUCAGUGGUAGAGCACGUGCUUAGCAUGCAUGAGGUGCUGGGUUCAAUCCCCAGUACCUCCA